rnacentral:tRNA from 1 species
GCCUGGGUGGCGGAAUUGGUAGACGCACAGGACUUAAAAUCCUGCGGGUGGUUGCACCCGUGCCGGUUCGACUCCGGCCCUAGGUAC